ACGUUACAUAAUUUGUAUCCGAACUUAAUUUGGGUUCUCGAACUGAGGCACCCUUCUGUGGUGUUUUAUUUCCACACCAUUGUUGCCUCGUUUGAUUCCAAAGAAGUAGACCAUGAUUUACAAAUUCCGAAGUGCUGCUCGUGGUGCCAGAAUUACUGUGAGGAUCAAGGGCCGGAUUAGAUGUGCUAAUUGAUGAGAUGCUUCUCUGGGAGGGAAAUGUGCUAUUCUCCAUCUCGCAUGCACUACUGCUCCAAAAGUCGUCUCUUAAACUAGUUUUCCUCAAUCGUUUGCUCGGAACUUUCAGUCCUUUAGAUGGCUUAUCCACUGAAACAACAUGAGGAGAAUUCACACAGCAUCCAAGACAACUUCUGCUCCCAUGCAAGCCAAUAUGCGGUAUAUCCAAGAGGCAAUUGAUCUACAAAGUUGCAUUUACAAGCAAAUGGGUUUUCGUCAAAGCACAGAUUUCAACUGUAAAUUCAACACCAUACCCUAUCUGUGACGAUACAAAGGAGAGACAAUCACUUAACCUAUUCCCUUCGCUAUUAUUUUCCUCCACCGAUGACAAAUUAAUACCGUGGCACAACAACAAUCUUUCUUCUUCUAUUUUCUUUGUGCACGAAUGGUGGACAAGAACUGAACUUCAGCAAGUAUAUCCAUACAUAAAUAAUCAGAGACCCGCAACCUCAGUUUUUGUGCUGCAUUCUCCCACUUUCAGCACCAGCAUAAGGAUCGAUUGUCACAUUAAUAACAGCAGGCUUCCUAUCAGAAAAAGAUUCUGUAAGUGCAGAUUUAAGUUCAUCAGGUGUUCCAACAAGGUAUCCUUUUCCUCCAAAGGCUUCAAUUAGAAGAUGAUACGAUGCACCAGGAACAAAAGAUGUGGGUGCUGGAUCUUCUUUAUAAGGUCCAGUAAUUUCUUCGGGGUUCCUUCUGUCACCACCAUAAACUCCGCCAUUAUUGAAGACUAUAACCACAACUGGAAGCUGGUAGCGAACUAGGGUCUCAACUUCCAUGGCACUGAAGCCAAAUCCAGAGUCCCCUUCAACAGCUACUACAAGCCUUUCAGGUGAAGCAACAGCAGCUGCAAUGCAGUACCCCAGACCAACUCCCAUUGUCCCCCACGUCCCUGCAUCCAACCGGGUCCUUGGCUCGGUCUGAACUAAUACUGAUCGCCCCACAUCCAUAGUGUUGGCUCCUUCGGAGACAACAAUUGGAGCAGGACUGCCCAAUUGCAGUAUUGCAUCUCUAAUAAUUCUCAUUGGUGUCAUAAAAUUAAAUGGCACGACGUCCUUUGCCAGUUGUGCCUCCAUUUUCGAAACAUUUUCCUUGCUCUUCUUUGAUAAUGCCUCAACCCAAGGAUGAGACUUCCCUAAACAAAAAGGGUCAUCCUUAAUCUCCUUGUGUAUCAUCUCAACAACCUUAGUAGCAUCACCAACCAACCCUAAACAUGGUUUCCUAAGCUCAAUCUCCUCCUUAUCUACAUCAACUAAGAUAAACUUCACAUCCUUAGACCACUUUGGUGGCUCUCCGAAAUGCAAAAGCCAAUUAAGCCUUGCGCCAACUAUCAACGCCACAUCACACUUUCCAAUAGCCAGUGACCUUGCAGCAGUAGCAGCUAGCUCAUGAUUAUCAGGCAACAAACCCUUCCCCAUUGGUGUAGGCAAAAAGGGUAUUCCAGUGCGCUCAACUAAAUUCUUCAAAGCAUUUUCAGCUCUAGAAAAUGCAGCCCCUUUUCCAAACACAAUCAAAGGCCUCUCCGCUUUCCUCAACAAAGCAGCCGCCUUUUCAAUUUCUGAAUGUUGAACAAUGGGUUUAGCAAUGAGCUCUUUAUUCCUGCAACUCUCAGCAUCAUCGAUCAAUUUCUGUGCUUCAGUGUCACUAAUUGUCUGAUGAAGCACAUCAGUAGGAAGAUCCAAAUAACAACCACCUGGCCUGCCAGAGACUGCCCAAUCCAAAACACUGAAAACACAGCUUGGUAUUUUCGUUAUAUCAGUUGCUUUAGCUGAGUACUUAGAGAAGGGUUUCACAGCCUCAAUUUGAUCUAAUUCUUGAAAAUCGCCGCGACCCAUCUCUUUCUGAUCAGAUGACCCAGAAAUCAAAACCAUGGGCCAGGUAUUAACGGUUGCAUUGGAAAGCCCAGCGAGGCCAUGAACGCAACCUGGACCAGAGACGGUUAGAAGAAUUCCGGGUCGACCGGUAAGAUAACCAUAAGCAGAAGCAGCGUAACCGGCAGAUUGUUCAUUGUGGAAAGCAAUAAACCGGAUACCGAGUCCGACCGACCGGUUCGCAAGGGAAGUAACGGGUAUCCCGACAACCCCGAACAUCCGGUCGACGCCGGCACGUGCAAGGCACAUGGCAACGAAAGUGUUUCCGUCGACAGUAGAUAGGGUUUGGUGAUUGGAAUCAGACAUUUUAAGUGAGUUUUAGAAACAGAGGACUCUUUUCAGUGAUGGAUUUUACAGAGAAAGAUCAAUUGGAUAGUUUUAUCUAAAGAAAGGGCAGA
rnacentral:misc_RNA from 1 species